UUACGGCCACACCACGUUGAAACAUCGCUCCUUGUACGAUCACUGAAGUUAAGCAACAUCAAGCCUAGUUAGAACCUAGAUGGUGACCGCUUGGGAAUACCAGGUGCUGUAA